rnacentral:rRNA from 1 species
UUAGAGUUUGAUCCUGGCUCAGGAUGAACGCUAGCGGCAGGCUUAACACAUGCAAGUCGAGGGGCAGCGAGAUCAGUGCUUGCACUGAUUGUCGGCGACCGGCGCACGGGUGCGUAACGCGUAUGCAACCUACCCAUUACAGGGGGAUAACACCGAGAAAUCGGUACUAAUACCCCAUAACAUCCAGGGAGGCAUCUUCUUGGGUUGAAAACUCCGGUGGUAAUGGAUGGGCAUGCGUUGUAUUAGUUAGUUGGUGGGGUAACGGCUCACCAAGACAACGAUACAUAGGGGGACUGAGAGGUUAACCCCCCACAUUGGUACUGAGACACGGACCAAACUCCUACGGGAGGCAGCAGUGAGGAAUAUUGGUCAAUGGACGCAAGUCUGAACCAGCCAUGCCGCGUGCAGGAAGACGGCUCUAUGAGUUGUAAGCUGCUUUUGUACGAGGGUAAACGCAGAUACGCGUAUCUGUCUGAAAGUAUCGUACGAAUAAGGAUCGGCUAACUCCGUGCCAGCAGCCGCGGUAAUACGGAGGAUUCAAGCGUUAUCCGGAUUUAUUGGGUUUAAAGGGUGCGUAGGCGGUCGGAUAAGUUAGAGGUGAAAUCCCGGGGCUCAACUUCGGAAUUGCCUCUGAUACUGUUCGGCUAGGGAGUAGUUGCGGUAGGCGGAAUGUAUGGUGUAGCGGUGAAAUGCUUAGAGAUCAUACAGAACACCGAUUGCGAAGGCAGCUUACCAAGCUACUUCUGACGUUGAGGCACGAAAGCGUGGGGGAGCAAACAGGAUUAGAUACCCUGGUAGUCCACGCAGUAAACGAUGAUAACUCGUUGUCGGCGAUACAGUGUCGGUGACUAAGCGAAAGCGAUAAGUUAUCCACCUGGGGAGUACGUUCGCAAGAAUGAAACUCAAAGGAAUUGACGGGGGCCCGCACAAGCGGAGGAACAUGUGGUUUAAUUCGAUGAUACGCGAGGAACCUUACCCGGGCUUGAAAGUUAGUGACGGAUCUUGAAAGAGGUCUUCCCUUCGGGGCACGAAACUAGGUGCUGCAUGGUUGUCGUCAGCUCGUGCCGUGAGGUGUCGGGUUAAGUCCCAUAACGAGCGCAACCCCUACCGUUAGUUGCCAGCAGGUCAAGCUGGGCACUCUGACGGGACUGCCGGUGUAAGCCGAGAGGAAGGUGGGGAUGACGUCAAAUCAGCACGGCCCUUACGUCCGGGGCUACACACGUGUUACAAUGGCAGGUACAGAGGGCAGCUACCCAGCGAUGGGAUGCGAAUCUCGAAAGCCUGUCUCAGUUCGGAUUGGAGGCUGAAACCCGCCUCCAUGAAGUUGGAUUCGCUAGUAAUCGCGCAUCAGCCAUGGCGCGGUGAAUACGUUCCCGGGCCUUGCACACACCGCCCGUCA